CCUACGGGAGGCAGCAGUAGGGAAUCUUCCACAAUGGGCGAAAGCCUGAUGGAGCAACGCCGCGUGGGUGAAGAAGGUCUUUGGAUCGUAAAACUCUGUUGUUAGAGAAGAAAGUGCGUGAGAGUAACUGUUCACGUUUCGACGGUAUCUAACCAGAAAGCCACGGCAAACUACGUGCCAGCAGCCGCGGUAAUACGUAGGUGGCAAGCGUUAUCCGGAUUUAUUGGGCGUAAAGGGAACGCAGGCGGUCUUUGACGGCUGAGGGGAAAGCCUUCGGCUUAACCGGAGUAGUGAAUUGGAAACUGUGAUACUGGAGUGCAGAAGAGGAGAGAGGAA
rnacentral:rRNA from 1 species